ACAAGUAUACAAGAGCAUCGGGUGGAUGCCUUGGCGUCGGAAGGCGAAGAAAGACGUGGUAAGCUGCGAUAAGCCUCGGGGAGAAGCUAAACAUUCUGCGAUCCGGGGAUGUCUGAAUGGGGAAACCCGGCGGGAGUCAUGUCCCGUCAUCCGCAAGUGAAUACAUAGCUUGCAGGAAGCCAACUCAGGGAAGUGAAACAUCUCAGUACCUGAAGGAAAGGAAAUCAAACGAGACUCCCUCAGUAGCGGCGAGCGAAGGGGGAAGAGCCUAAACCGGUUGGAUUCGUCCAGCCGGGGUUGUAGGGCCGGCAUAGGUGAUUCAUGAGUAGGCAGGGGAAGGAAGCUGGAAAGCUUUGCCAAAGCGGGUGAUAGCCCCGUACCCGAACCUGAAAGUGACACAGCCGGUACCUGAGUACCGCGGGGCACGUGAAACCCCGUGGGAAUCCGGGAGGACCAUCUUCCAAGGCUAAGUACUAACCGACGACCGAUAGUGCACCAGUACCGUGAGGGAAAGGUGAAAAGAACCCCAGUCAGGGGAGUGAAAUAGAAUCUGAAACCUGAUGCUUACAAGCUGUGGGAGCCGUGCUUGCAUGGUGACCACGUGCCUUUUGCAUAAUGAGUCAGCGAGUUAAUCUGUACUGCGAGGUUAAGCGUAAGUGGAGCCGUAGCGAAAGCGAGUCUGAUAAGGGCGAUAGUAGUGCGGAUUAGACCCGAAACCGGGUGAUCUAUCCAUGAGCAGGUUGAAGCACGGGUAAAACCUUGUGGAGGACCGAACCCAUACCGGCUGAAAACGGUUGGGAUGACUUGUGGAUAGGGGUGAAAGGCCAAUCAAACCCGGUGAUAGCUGGUUCUCCCCGAAAUAUAUUGAGGUAUAGCCUCGUGGAUUGUCUACCGGAGGUAAAGCACUGACAGAGCUAGGGGUCCUACCAGAUUACCAAACUCUUUCAAACUCAGAAUGCCGGUCAGAUGUACCACGGGAGUCAGACAGUGGGUGCUAAGGUCCAUUGUCGAGAGGGUAAGAGCCCAGAUCAACAGCUAAGGCCUCCAAAUGCAUGCUCAGUGGUUAAGGUGGUGACGUUGUAGAGACACCCAGGACGUUGGCUUAGAAGCAGCCAUCGUUUAAAGAAAGCGUAAUAGCUCACUGGUCUAAUGACGUUGCGCCGAAAAUGUAACGGGGCUAAGCAUGCUGCCGAAGCUUUGAAUUCCGCGUAUGCGGUCUGGUAGGGGAGCGUUCUUCAUGGGCUGAAGGUGUGUUGUAAAGCAUGCUGGACUGUGGAGAAGUGAUUAUGCUGACAUGAGUAACGAUAAAACGGGUGAAAAACCCGUUCGCCGUAAACCCAAGGUUUCCUGGGUAAAGGUAAUCUUCCCAGGGUUAGUCGGCCCCUAAGGCAAGGCUGAAAGGCGUAGCUGAUGGGAAACGUGUUAAUAUUCACGUACUUGUGUGUUCGCGCGAAGGAGGGACGCAGGAAGAUAGGCGAUCCGGGUGUUGGAUUACCCGGUGCAAGCGAGUAGGCAUGGGAAGCAGGCAAAUCCGUUUCCCUGUAUGCUGAGACGCGAGUCCGUGGGCGUAAGCCCUGAAGUCGCUGAGUCUAUGCUGCCAAGAAAAGCUUCUAAGUUUAGAACACGCAAACCGUACCGGAAACCAACUCAGGUGGGUGGGAUGAAUAAUCCAAGGCGCUCGAGAGAACUCUGGCCAAGGAACUCGGCAAAAUAACCCCGUACCUUCGGAAGAAGGGGUGCUCCUUUAGGUGAAGCGAUUCACUUGUUGAGCCUGAGGGAGCCGCAGAGAAAUGGUGGUGGCGACUGUUUACUAAAAACAUAGGUCUGUGCGAAGUCGUAAAGACGACGUAUACGGACUGACGCCUGCCCGGUGCCGGAAGGUUAAAAGGAGGGGUCAGCGCAAGCGAAGCUCCGAAUUGAAGCCCCGGUAAACGGCGGCCGUAACUAUAACGGUCCUAAGGUAGCGAAAUUCCUUGUCGGGU
rnacentral:rRNA from 1 species